rnacentral:rRNA from 1 species
AUACUGCUGAGCUAGGGACCGGGAGAGGCCGAGGGUAUUCCCGGGGUAGGGGUGAAAUCCUGUAAUCCCGGGAGGACCACCUGUGGCGAAGGCGCUCGGCUGGAACGGGUCCGACGGUGAGGGACGAAGGCCUGGGGAGCGAACCGGAUUAGAUACCCGGGUAGUCCAGGCUGUAAACGAUGCGGGCUAGGUGUCACCGGAGCUACGAGCUCCGGUGGUGCCGGAGGGAAGCCGUUAAGCCCGCCGCCUGGGAAGUACGGCCGCAAGGCUGAAACUUAAAGGAAUUGGCGGGGGAGCACUACAACGGGUGGAGCCUGCGGUUUAAUUGGAUUCAACGCCGGGAAGCUUACCGGGGGAGACAGCGGGAUGAAGGUCGGGCUGAAGACCUUACCAGACUAGCUGAGAGGUGGUGCAUGGCCGCCGUCAGUUCGUACUGUGAAGCAUCCUGUUAAGUCAGGCAACGAGCGAGACCCGCGCCCUCAGUUGCCAGCGGGUCCCUUCGGGGACGCCGGGCACACUGAGGGGACUGCCAGCGCUAAGCCGGAGGAAGGUGCGGGCAACGGCAGGUCCGUAUGCCCCGAAUCCCCCGGGCUACACGCGGGCUACAAUGGCCGGGACAAUGGGUACCGACCCCGAAAGGGGUGGGUAAUCUCCUAAACCCGGUCUAACCUGGGAUCGAGGGCUGCAACUCGCCCUCGUGAACCUGGAAUCCGUAGUAAUCGCGUCUCA